CUCUCUUCCCACACAGUUCGCCAUUGUGACACAGUGACACAUGUUUUCUUUUCAGUUUAAUAUCUAAUGUGUUCUUUAUCUGAACACAGUAUGUUAAAUGGAUGUUUGGAGUUGGGAGAUUGAAUAGGAGCUUGCUCUUUCCACUCCAUGCCUAACUUGGUCUUGUAGUACCAAGAAUGACACCCUUU